rnacentral:tmRNA from 1 species
GGGGUCGACUGGUUUAGACAGCAAGCCGAAUUAGUAGAUAAGCAUGUCGUGAAACGUUAUGCACUCACGCUAAACAGACAUUUCAACUUUUUAACUGGCAACAACAAUUACGCUUUAGCGGCCUAAUCGACUGAAUUAUAGUAAGUCUUGGCGUUAUCCCUACAAGGUAGGGACGUUAAAUGUCCUACGGACGCCCGCUCACCGUGGCUUCCGAAUCUAGGGCACAGAAAUACGGAGAUAGAAUAAAAGGAGUUCCGACUUUUAUUCGAAAUUUUGGAACUAAGGUGUUAGCCAGGGUGUCUUUACCCAAGCUGCACACGAAAAUUAAAGAAAAGACUAAACAUGUAGAAGGUUUAUUACUUCCUUGUUUGGACGCGGGUUCGAAUCCCGCCGACUCCACUA